rnacentral:rRNA from 1 species
CCUACGGGUGGCAGCAGUGAGGAAUAUUGGUCAAUGGGCGGAAGCCUGAACCAGCCAAGUAGCGUGCAGGAUGACGGCCCUACGGGUUGUAAACUGCUUUUAUACGGGAAUAACGCGCCUUACGUGUAGGUCUUUGCAUGUACCGUAUGAACAAGCACCGGCUAAUUCCGUGCCAGCAGCCGCGGUAAUACGGAGGGUCCGGGCGUUAUCCGGAUUUAUUGGGUUUAAAGGGAGCGUAGGCCGCAUGUCAAGUGUGCUGUGAAAAGCCCGGGCUCAACCCGGGCCUUGCAGCGGAAACUGGCGGGCUUGAGUCCGCGGAAGGCAGGCGGAAUUCGUCGUGUAGCGGUGAAAUGCUUAGAUAUGACGAAGAACCCCGAUUGCGAAGGCAGCUUGCUGCAGCGGAACUGACGCUGAUGCUCGAAAGCGCGGGUAUCGAACAGGAUUAGAUACCCGAGUAGUC